ACGGGGUGCAGCAGGCGCGAAAACUUUACAAUGCUGGAAACAGCGAUAAGGGGACCUCGAGUGCCAGGUUACAAAUCUGGCUGUCGUGAUGCCCAAAAAGCAUUGCAUAGCAAGGGCCGGGCAAGACCGGUGCCAGCCGCCGCGGUAACACCGGCGGCUCGAGUGGUAACCGUUAUUAUUGGGUCUAAAGGGUCUGUAGCCGGCCGGAUAAGUCUCUUGGGAAAUCUGGCAGCUUAACUGUCAGGCUUUCAGGAGAUACUGUCUGGCUCGAGGCCGGGAGAGGUGAGAGGUACUUCAGGGGUAGGGGUGAAAUCUUGUAAUCCUUGAAGGACCACCAGUGGCGAAGGCGUCUCACCAGAACGGACCUGACGGCAAGGGACGAAAGCUAGGGGCACGAACCGGAUUAGAUACCCGGGUAGUCCUAGCCGUAAACGAUACUCGCUAGGUGUCGGCCACGGUGCGACCGUUGUCGGUGCCGUAGGGAAGCCGUGAAGCGAGCCACCUGGGAAGUACGGCCGCAAGGCUGAAACUUAAAGGAAUUGGCGGUGGAGCAC
rnacentral:rRNA from 1 species